UGUUGCUUUCGGGCGUCGUGAGGGAGGCAACUGGGAGAGGUGCUGCAUCGUGCGUGGCUCAAUGCCUUUCUUUUUUUCUGGCGUGUCUCCCGCCCGAGCUUUGGCCAGUGGAGAUGGCAGGCACCUCAGACCAAGCUGGAUGUGGCAGCCAAGCUGUGAGGAAGCAGGCAGUGCUUCUUCCUCUUCUUCACUCAGAGAGAUGCAGAGCCCAUCAGGAAGUCCAGGCUAUUGCCCAACAUGUCAUCAGGACUAAGGGCAUCAUUGUGAAUAUGCUGCACGAAUCUUUUGACAAGGGAAUUACAAAAGAGAAAGGGGAAGCACGUAAUUCAGGCUGAUUUUUUUUCCUAUAAGCAAACUUAACAACUUCAGGAGCUCUUUACCUUCUGCAUUUCUUACGUUUCUUUGCAAACCCAAACCCAUGCAUGCAAAAAUGUUGCUGUUGUUCACUUCAUCAUGUGGCAGCACUUGGGAACCACUUGACAGUGAGGCUGGGCAAGCAACCCAGGAGACAGAUUGUCCUGUGGAAGCCACUGGUGAGACCAAAUUCUGCUGUCAUCCAACCUGGACAGUGUUUGAGGAAUGUGUCCUUAAGCUGAGAUCACCUCCACAGGACUUUGGAGGAGGUAAUAUGUGUUGACCUGGAGCAACAACUGCUGCACUCCAGCUUGUGGUCCGGGCAGGCAGAGCUGGAGCAGCAUCCACCUCUUUUCCAUUGGCUGGGACCAGGUGUUGCACUGCUUCAGUAACCCUUGCUUGGAUGGCGAAGGAGAGAAGCUGAAAGUUUCCUAAGGCAAACUCCUGCUGCAAGGCUCUGGUGCCCCCAUGGAGCUGGGCGUGGGGUCAGCCCUGACUUCAUUGUAGCAAGGGCUGCCCCCCUCUACAGGGGCUUCUCCCAUGCAGUUCAGGUUGUUCCACGCAGAGCUUAGGGGCUGCCUGCUAAA